UUCUUCGUAGCACAGUGGUAGUUGCACCGAGCUGUUAUUCACUUUGUGUGUCUGAAUGGUACUCGGGGGUCGCAGGUUCGAGCCCUGCCGAGGAAG